rnacentral:rRNA from 1 species
UACGGAGGAUGCAAGCGUUAUCCGGAUUCAUUAGGUAUAAAGGGUGCGUAGGCGGAUUUGUAAGUCAGUGGUGAAAUACUGCAGCUUAACUGUAGAACUGCCAUUGAUACUGCAAGUCUUGAGUACAAUUGAGGUAGGCGGAAUGUGUGGUGUAGCGGUGAAAUGCUUAGAUAUCACACAGAACACCAAUUGCGAAGGCAGCUUACUAAACUGUAACUGACGCUGAUGCACGAAAGCGUGGGGAGCAAACAGG